rnacentral:misc_RNA from 1 species
UCCUCCGACCCGGAGUGGAUUCUUCUCCGCUGUAUAGCUUCCGUCCUACAGCGGUCUUUUCCCUUUCAUUUUCUCUUCCAGUUGGUUGUACCCUUUACACUCCCUUAAGAGUGACUGGCAUCUGGAUGAAGAGUAAGAGGUUUCUUUACUACUAAUAGGCUCCUUUCCUCUUUGUUCAAAUGCUCGGAAAUCUUCAACUUCAAAUGGGCAAGAAAGCCCGAGAGUCAGGUAAGCAUGCCUAGCUUGAUGCUUUAUAGAAUAUUG